GUGACUGCGUACCUUUUGUAUAAUGGGUCAGCGACUUAUAUUCUGUAGCAAGGUUAACCGAAUAGGGGAGCCGGAGGGAAACCGAGUCUUAAUUGGGCGUUAAGUUGCAGGGUAUAGACCCGAAACCCGGUGAUCUAGCCAUGGGCAGGUUGAAGGUUGGGUAACACUAACUGGAGGACCGAACCGACUAAUGUUGAAAAAUUAGCGGAUGACCUGUGGCUGGGGGUGAAAGGCCAAUCAAACCGGGAGAUAGCUGGUUCUCCCCGAAAGCUAUUUAGGUAGCGCCUCGUGAAUUCAUCUCCGGGGGUAGAGCACUGUUUCGGCUAGGGGGCCAUCCCGGCUUACCAACCCGAUGCAAACUGCGAAUACCGGAGAAUGUUAUCACGGGAGACACACGGCGGGUGCUAACGUCCGUCGUGAAGAGGGAAACAACCCAGACCGCCAGCUAAGGUCCCAAAGUCAUGGUUAAGUGGGAAACGAUGUGGGAAGGCCCAGACAGCCAGGAUGUUGGCUUAGAAGCAGCCAUCAUUUAAAGAAAGCGUAAUAGCUCACUGGUCGAGUCGGCCUGCGCGGAAGAUGUAACGGGGCUAAACCAUGCACCGAAGCUGCGGCAGCGACGCUGAUGCGUUGUUGGGUAGGGGAGCGUUCUGUAAGCCUGCGAAGGUGGCCUGUGAGGGUUGCUGGAGGUAUCAGAAGUGCGAAUGCUGACAUAAGUAACGAUAAAGCGGGUGAAAAGCCCGCUCGCCGGAAGACCAAGGGUUCCUGUCCAACGUUAAUCGGGGCAGGGUGAGUCGACCCCUAAGGCGAGGCCGAAAGGCGUAGUCGAUGGGAAACGGGUUAAUAUUCCCGUACUUGGUGUUACUGCGAAGGGGGGACGGAGAAGGCUAUGUUGGCCGGGCGACGGUUGUCCCGGUUUAAGCGUGUAGGUGUGUGUUCCAGGUAAAUCCGGUUCACUUUAACACUGAGGCGUGAUGACGAGGCACUACGGUGCUGAAGCAACAAAUGCCCUGCUUCCAGGAAAAGCCUCUAAGCAUCAGGUAACAUCAAAUCGUACCCCAAACCGACACAGGUGGUCAGGUAGAGAAUACCAAGGCGCUUGAGAGAACUCGGGUGAAGGAACUAGGCAAAAUGGUGCCGUAACUUCGGGAGAAGGCACGCUGACACGUAGGUGAAGUGAUUUACUCAUGGAGCUGAAGUCAGUCGAAGAUACCAGCUGGCUGCAACUGUUUAUUAAAAACACAGCACUGUGCAAACACGAAAGUGGACGUAUACGGUGUGACGCCUGCCCGGUGCCGGAAGGUUAAUUGAUGGGGUCAGCGCAAGCGAAGCUCCUGAUCGAAGCCCCGGUAAACGGCGGCCGUAACUAUAACGGUCCUAAGGUAGCGAAAUUCCUUGUCGGGUAAGUUCCGACCUGCACGAAUGGCGUAAUGAUGGCCAGGCUGUCUCCACCCGAGACUCAGUGAAAUUGAACUCGCUGUGAAGAUGCAGUGUACCCGCGGCAAGACGGAAAGACCCCGUGAACCUUUACUAUAGCUUGACACUGAACAUUGAGCCUUGAUGUGUAGGAUAGGUGGGAGGCUUUGAAGUGUGGACGCCAGUCUGCAUGGAGCCGGCCUUGAAAUACCACCCUUUAAUGUUUGAUGUUCUAACGUGGACCCGUGAUCCGGGUUGCGGACAGUGUCUGGUGGGUAGUUUGACUGGGGCGGUCUCCUCCUAAAGAGUAACGGAGGAGCACGAAGGUUGGCUAAUCCUGGUCGGACAUCAGGAGGUUAGUGCAAUGGCAUAAGCCAGCUUGACUGCGAGCGUGACGGCGCGAGCAGGUGCGAAAGCAGGUCAUAGUGAUCCGGUGGUUCUGAAUGGAAGGGCCAUCGCUCAACGGAUAAAAGGUACUCCGGGGAUAACAGGCUGAUACCGCCCAAGAGUUCAUAUCGACGGCGGUGUUUGGCACCUCGAUGUCGGCUCAUCACAUCCUGGGGCUGAAGUAGGUCCCAAGGGUAUGGCUGUUCGCCAUUUAAAGUGGUACGCGAGCUGGGUUUAGAACGUCGUGAGACAGUUCGGUCCCUAUCUGCCGUGGGCGCUGGAGAACUGAGGGGGGCUGCUCCUAGUACGAGAGGACCGGAGUGGACGCAUCACUGGUGUUCGGGUUGUCAUGCCAAUGGCACUGCCCGGUAGCUAAAUGCGGAAGAGAUAAGUGCUGAAAGCAUCUAAGCACGAAACUUGCCCCGAGAUGAGUUCUCCCUGAGACUUAGAGUCUCCUGAAGGAACGUUGAAGACGACGACGUUGAUAGGCCGGGUGUGUAAGCGCAGCGAUGCGUUGAGCUAACCGGUACUAAUGAACCGUGAGGCUUAACCUUACAACGCCGAAG
rnacentral:rRNA from 3 species